rnacentral:rRNA from 1 species
CCUACGGGAGGCAGCAGUGGGGAAUAUUGCACAAUGGGCGAAACCCUGAUGCAGCAACGCCGCGUGAGUGAAGAAGUAUUUCGGUAUGUAAAGCUCUAUCAGCAGGGAAGAAAAUGACGGUACCUGACUAAGAAGCCCCGGCUAACUACGUGCCAGCAGACGCGGUAACACGGAGGGUGCAAGCGUUAUCCGGAUUUACUGGGCGUAAAGGGGGCGUAGACGGUGCAGCAAGUCUGGUGGGAAAGGGCGGGGCCUAACCCCGGGACUGCAGUGGAAACUGUUGGACUGGAGUACAGGAGAGGUAGGCGGAAUGCAUGGUGUAGCGGUGAAAUGCGUAGAUAUUAGGAGGAACACCAGUGGCGAAGGCGGCUUACUGGACUGUAACUGACGUUGAGGCUCGAAAGCGUGGGGAGCAAACAGGAUUAGAUACCCCAGUAGUC